AAAUAAGAAGUAAUUAAUACAUUUAGUUUCGACCUAAAAAUUUGGUGAUUUUCCCGCCCUUAUUUA
rnacentral:tRNA from 1 species